AAAGCCUUCUUCUUUGGAACCCGGUUGAUAUCAAUCUUGAUAUCGGUGAGUGAGAUUCUCUUGAAGUUCAUUUGGCUCCUCACCAUAUCUGGGGCAUCAACCAGAGCCUGUAAAAGACAAGUCACGAAUUGCAUUCAAUGUAAGCUGACCAAUUCCACGGAUGCCCAACAAAUCAUAGAAUCAAAAGAUGUUUGAAAAUAACAUAUCCUAAACAAGUUCAUGAGCACCAAACAACCUUACAGACUUCGGUAUAUACAAAAAACAUCAACACUGGUUUCCUCAGAGCAGAGACGUUAAUCUUAAACACCCUAAGCUCAAUAAACAUUCAAAGCCUAAUGCUUACAAGAAACAGAACAAUUUCGCACAUAAAAGCCAACAGGCUACAUAACACAAACUAAUCCAAUAUGUGUAUGCAUCACCCAGGAAGCUAGGUAAAUUUUUAGUAAGCAAAGAAAGCUCACAUUUAAGUGAUCUAAGGAUCACAAACUCUAUUUUUUAAUCGGUUUUCUUCACUAGAAAGUUUGAUUGAUUAAACUCUAAAAAAACAUGACUAUCUGUUUUUUAUGACAAAAAACAAGAAAACAGAAACAAAAGAAGCAGUAAGCAUAUGGUAAGACAAAUAAACAAGAGACAGAAGCAUACGCGGUUCUGGUCGAUGACAUCAACGAUCACAACGAUCCUGCCGUAUUCUUUGCCAUAGUUGACGAGACCUACCCUCCCGAUCUCCACGUAUCUCUUGAAAGGCUACAAGACCACAUCACAUACAAGAACAAAAUGAUGUUAGAUUAAGAGUGGUAUAAGUGAGUUGUCGAGAGAAGGAGAAAGAGAGAAGUAGCUAACCAUGCUGGGUUCUUGAGGUGUGCGUCACUGUGAAAGCAGGGGGGAGGCGGACAGCUAAGGAAGACGCAGAAAUGACAAGGAGUUAGGGUUUGUUUGUCUUGUUAUAUAUUUACUUCUUAUGGAAGAUUUUAGACCGUCCGAUUUAGGGUUUACAUUCUUCUAAGGGGUUGGGUUUAAGGAUAGGUUCCGAGCUGGUAAAAGUUAUUGGGCCUUAUUAAGUUCGGUGGAUUUGGACUGGACACAUUGGUCACUGCCUUCUUUCCACCAGCUGGUAAACUUGGUAUGAUUUGAUGAGUUGGACCGAUAAUAAUUUAGAGUUUUACUUAUAUUUUAUCCAGGAUUGGUUUGAAAUUUGAUUUCACCAAACAACAAUUUUAAAUGUUUUUUUUAUAGUUUUUAUCGAAAACAAUGAGUUGUACUACAAAUAAAAUAAUAUUAUUUUAAAAUUGGUUCAACAAACCCACUAUUAAAACCUUAAAUUGGAUGAAAUCUUAGAUCCAGUUUAAUAAUUAAAACAAUUAUGACAUAAAAAGUUAAAGUAGAGCCUUUUUUUUAUAAUAAUUUGGGGAUAUUUAGGAGAGUAGUUAUAGUAUUUUUUUUAAAAUUAUGUUUUAUUUGAAAAUAUAUUAAAAUAAUAUAUAUUUUUUAUUUUUUAAAAUUAUUUUUAAUAUUAUUAUAUUAAAGCGGUGUUAAAAUAUAUAUAUAUAUAAUUAAUUUAAAAAUAUAUAUAUAUAUAUAUAUAUUUAUUUUUUUAUUUGAAAUGGAAACGGUAGGUGACAAAGUCAAGUCUUUCCAGCCAUUUGUUUCCACUGAAAGACUUUAAAGUCUUUUCGUGGCGAAGACCAAUUGCUAAUUCUUGACGUGUAAGCACUGGUCGCCAGUGCUUUUGCUCUCUCCCUUGUACCCGCCAUUACCAAGGUUUUGCUUCUCGAUGAGCUCAUAACAUAUUAAGUAACUUUUUGACAGUUUAUCCAUCGACUGCAAUGGACCGUCCAAGUUUGGUUUCCCUCUUCUCUCGUAUUCUCAUUACUCUUUGUUUUGGAAUUGCACAACCGCAACAAUUUUGUUCCAACAACGGAAUCUAUUCUGUAAAUAGUACCUACAGCAAUAAUCUCAAUCUCCUACUCUCUUCUCUCCCUUCAAGCAUAGCUGAGAAUGGUUUCUUCUACAACGCCACAGAAGGCCAAGGCCCUGACAAAGUCUAUGCUCUGGCCCUUUGUAGAGAAGAUCUUCCCUCAGAAAAAUGCUCCAGUUGCGUUAACACUGCUAGCCAAGACAUUAAACAGGAGUGUCCUCAUAAAAAAGAAGCACUCUUGUGGACGGAUUCUAAUUGCCUGGUAAGGUAUGCGAAUCGUGAUAUUUUCGCCAAGAUGGAGGAGGAAAUAUCUUCCUUCUGCGUAUCCAAUCCGAAUGAUUUCUCUGGAGAUUUUGCUAGAUUCAACAAGACACUACAUGAUUUGAUGGAGGAACUUAUAACUCAGGCUUCCUCGGGUCCCAAAAAGUUUGCAACAGGAUAUGUGAACUUCACAAAACCGAUAUAUGGUCUGGUGCAAUGUACCCCUGAUAUAUCAGAGCGUGAUUGCGGAAUUUGUCUACAGAAGGGAAUGGGAGAAAUGGAAAGCUGUUCUGGUGGACGCGAAGGAGGAAGAAUUCUUCGUCCAAGUUGCAUGGUUUGGUUUGAGGUAUUUCGUUUUUAUAUCAUUCCUACUGGUAGUGUAGAUGAUCCGCUACAAUUUCCUCCGGGCGCGGCGCCUAUCUUACCUCCUCAGCCACCAUCUCCUCCAAGUCCCGCUAACGCAUCCCCUCUCAACGAGACAAGUAAGAAACGUGUGUUACAUGCUUAAGUAGAAAGUUGAUAUCAAUUUUAGGGUGUACAGGCAGUUUGAAUUCUACCGUGAAUGGUAUUAAAACGAGCAUUAUUUUUUUAGCUCUUGUGGGUACUCGAGAGAUUUUGGUAAUUGAUUAGAGUCCAUUUCGAUAAAAGUGAAAUCAACUCAUUUUGUUACUUGCAUGCUCAUGGCAAUUAAAGGUACACAGACAGUGGCGGAGCCACGUGGGUGUAAAAGGAGGCAAUUAUCCCCUUAAUUUGUUUUAAAUGUUUAUUAUAUUAGGAUAUUAAUAUAAUAAUUUGGGGAGGGUUUGAUACAUGGAAAGUGGAAAGUUAUUGUUUAAUUAUAUUUUAAUAUAAUAUAUAAUAUAUAUUUCCAGCUCAUUUACUUAAAUUUUUUUUUUUUUUUUUACUAAUUAACAUAGAGUUUUUUUUUCCUUUUAAGUUGUUGUUGCCUCUUUUUUUUUUUACGUAAAUUUUUUUUUCAAGUCCAGUAACUUUUCUUUUGCUUUAUGUUUUAGGUUAGAUUUUUUUUUAAUCUUUUUUAUUUAUUUCAUUAUCUAAUUUUAAUUUUUUUUAUAUAAUUAGUUAUUAAAUAUAUUAGAGUUUAUGAUAAUUUAGGGGUUUUGAUAUGAAUGUGUUCAAAAUAAAUAUUUGAAUUUUUUAAUUUAAUCAAUUUAAUGUUUUUUUUAUUAUAAAUGAAUAAAUUAAUAUUCAUGCAAAAUCACUAUUUUUUGCAUCUCUUGUAUUGACAGAGUAGAUUAUUAAAAUUAUUUAACUAAGGUCUCUUAGUUCACUAUAAUUAUGGAUUAAUUAUUUAAUUAAGCCUCUUAAUUUACAAUGUACAUAUAUUAAUUGUCAUUUUAUAUCAAAUUUAUUUGUAAUUAAUUGUUAACGAGAUGCUUGGAGUUAGAAGAGGGUAUGGAUUUAAAUCCCAUAAGUUACACUUUCUCUCUCUUAGUAUUUUCUCUUAUUUGAAACUAGAGUAUAAUAUUAAAACUUGUUUCACAUAUUUGACUUAAUGAAUUUAUACAACUUUUAUGUGUGUGUAAAUAAUUUAAAUGUCUAGAAAUGAUUAAGUAUAAUUUAAUCAACAUACUUAUAUAUAUAUAUAUAUAUAUAUAUAUAUAUAUAAUUGAAAUGAGUUUUGAUAAAUUGAUGUGUAUUUUGAUAUGAAUAUCAUAUGAAAGAUUUAGAAUUAUUAUGCAACUCAACUGACUUUAUUAUUGUGUUAAUUAUUAUGAAGACAUUAAUGAUAAUAAUAAAAUCACUAGGUUCAUCAAUUAAAUUAACACGUCACUAUAAAAGUAUUUCAAGUGUAAAUCCUUUAAGGAUGAAUAGUAAUUCAAAACUUCAAGUUAUAUAAUUCAAUUAAGUUAAAAUAAAAAAUCAUAUUAAAAAGUUACAGUAUUUAUUAUUAAUUUGCCCCCUCAUAGAAAAAGCUUUGGCUCCACCACUAAAGGUACAGGUACUAGUGCAAGCAAGUUUUUUGUUUCCUGUGAUGACUCCAUGCUCAAGAAUAAUUAUGUUUGGAUAUUUAUAAAAUGAAGGAUAUAUAAUUAGCUCAGAAACAUUUAUUCAACUUGUGUUUAAUCAGUACUUAUCUCGGUGCCAUGCAGGAAACAAGAUUGUUAUUAUCAUUGUUGUGGCUGUAGCCAUCUCAGUUACCCUUAUCACAAUCAUUUGUGCUCUUUUCCUAUGGAGAAGGAUGAAGCAGAAAGUUGAGAGUAAGUCUAUACAUUUUUAGUGUUUGCUUGCCAUUAUUCUGCAACUUAGAUGAAUAGGUUUUCUACAUGUUGGCCCUAAAAAGCACUACAUAAGUUCAUUUUCGUUUACAUUGGAGUAGGAAUGGAGUUUGUACGAAGAGUAAUGAUUAUAGAACCCCUCCAAGCAUUUUCUCUGUGGUGGAAGUAACAUUAGCUUAAAUAUAGUUCAUUAGAUAAUAUCAUGUCACCGCUUGCUAAUUUUGAUUUUUUAUUCUGUGAAGAUGAUGAUGAUGAGAUGAGAAUGCUAGAAUCCUUGGAAUUCAACUUCAGUACCUUGAGAAUAGCAACAGAUGAAUUCAGCAAUGAUAAUAAACUUGGACAAGGUGGAUUUGGUUCAGUUUACAAGGUAACCUUCUUGUAAUAACAACGCACUUUCAUCAGGUUUUUUCAUGUCUGUAAAGCUGAAUUAGUUGCAGAUUAUCUUUUCUCAGCUUGUUAACAUCUUGGUAUUAGAUAUUAACAUAGAUAUAUCAGUGAACAACAAUUAUUAGGAGGAAAGGAAAUAUAAAAUAGAAAACAUUAGGGAAAGAAAUCAGUGGACAUCAAAUUCUGAUUGCCUGUACACUUUCCUGUUCCAGAAGCUUUAAUGUAAAAAACAUGAAACACUUGUCUGGGCUACUGUCAAAGCAGUGGGUAGUUCGUACUCGUGUUCUUCGAGAAGGCAACCGCUGUGCGGAUUGCAUGGCUAACCUGGUCAUAAUUAUAUCUUGGGUGUUCAUAUGUUAAUAAUCCUGUUAAUGGUCUGUCUACAUUAUUGUAUGCUGACAUGAUCGGGGCUGCUAGUCGUUUGUGGUUAUGUUUCUUUUGGGCUUAGGCCCUACCAAAAAAGAAAAAGAAAAAAUGAAACACUUGUCUUUAUUUACUCUGUUAAUCUUCAGGGAGUGCUUCCAAACGGACAAGAAAUUGCUGUCAAAAGGCUAUCCGGCUGUUCUUCACAAGGUGAAGUAGAAUUCAAGAAUGAGAUUCUGUUAUUGGCUAAGCUCCAACACAGAAAUCUUGUUAGCCUUGUAGGUUUUUGCUCUGAAGGACAGGAACGAAUCCUUGUUUAUGAGUUUUUGGGGAAUGGCAGCCUUGAUAAAUUCAUAUUUGGUACUACUGCUUUACCUUUUACUAAACGAAUUGUUUAGCAUAUCUGAAGUAGCUCUCUUUUAAUCCACAAGUAGGAUUUGGUAAACUUAUUGAAUGAAAUUGUAGAUCCAAUCAAGAGCACCCAACUGAAUUGGGAAACAAGGUGCAGAAUCAUCAGUGGCAUUGCUAGAGGAAUUCUUUAUCUUCAUGAAGAUUCUCGUCUUAGGAUAUUCAUCGUGACCUGAAAGCUAGCAAUGUCUUGUUAGAUGAAGAGAUGAAUCCUAAAGUUUCAGAUUUUGGCUUGGCAAGGCAGUUUCAACCGGAUCAAACUCAACGCAUUACCAGCAGAGUUGCGGGGACCUAGUGAGUAUUAAAAUCAACUCAAUGAUUAUACUGUUUAGAAAUUCCAUAGAACUACUAGGAAAAAAAAACUCUUUUAUGUUUCAUAAAACCUGAGAUGGAAUAAGUCAGUUUCAAAAGAGCUCUGCUAGCAUUUGAAUUGACAUUGUCCUCCUAUCGUUGAUGUUUUUUAGCGGCUACAUGGCUCCAGAAUAUGCCUUGCAAAAUCGAUUCUCAGUGAAAUCUGAUGUCUUCAGUUUUGGAGUGUUGGUUCUAGAGAUAGUAACUGGUAAGAAAAACAGCUGGCUGAGCAAUUCGGAGGAACUAGAGCUCCUUCUAAUCCAUGUAAGUGUGCUCGUAUCUUAGUCAAGCUUUGUGUUUGCUUCUUUAUGCUUGGAGUAGACAGGAACCGUUAAGGAUAGCUAAGAAGUGCGUGCAUCAAAAUUAGUUUAUCGUGUGAUUGACCUGGUUUUUGUGUGGAAGAACUGAACUUUUUCAUUCAGAUGAGUUAGUUUCAACGAGAGCAUUUCACACCCUGCAGGCAUGGAGAAAUUGGAGAGAAGGAACAGCUACGAACCUGAUUGACGAAACAUUGAGGGGCAGUCCAGUAACGGAUGUAAUGAGAUGCUUCCACAUAGGUUUAUUGUGUGUUCAAGAGAAUGUGUCAGGUAGACCCACCAUGGCUGCUGUUGUUCCUAUGCUCAAUAGCCACUCCUGGAGUCUCCCAUCACCUUCACGACCUGCGUUUCUUUUGGACAGUAACACAGACACAGGCUUGCCUUCAUUAAAAUCCGAUACAGGAACUACUACGCAGGACCAAUCCACAGAAAACACACAAGGGACAGCAUAUCUGUAGAAAUUUUCAUAGACUGAGACAUACUCUCAAUAGCACGAAAACAUGAUUGCAUUGUUUGAAAAUUGAUACAAUUUCGAAAGACAUGAUGCUGCACAUGGUUUGUUGAAUGGUAUCUGAUGACCAUAGUGAUUUUGUUAAGUCUCCUCUGAUUGCAUUAUGCUAGACAUGGUUGUUUGUAAGUAGACUCUGGACCCUAAUGAUGUUAACUCACCAUUGAUUGUGAUAGGAACUGGACCGGAUCAUAGCUAUCCUCUUUGAGUGCUAUUGAAAUGAUAAGAUAUGAACAUAUCAAAAUGCACAUAUACUAAAUAGAAUCCAGAGCCCAAUUUGAAAGUUAUGACUGGUUCCGUAAUUUGUAACCCAUAUAUAUGUUAACCAAGAGAUCGAUUUUGAACAUAGAAUGUGGUUUCUGAGUUUGAUUAGAUAUCUUUUGGUUUUUUUAAUGGAUUGGAGCAUGAUUUCUAAACGUUUUUUUGGAUAAUCCUAAGGUGUUUUUGAACAAAAAUGGUGUACAGGGCCAAAACAAUGCUUUCAGAUUCCAUCAAGCAAUUUCCAAGUUUUGGUCAUCGGAAACUUAGGGAAGAAGGUGAAUUAAACGUUGCGUCAUCUUUAGCUAUAGACAACAUGUUGUUCACCAAUUAAAUAAAAAAAAAAUAUCUUAGACCUGAUCAAAAUGAUAAUGCCUGAUUAAUUCCUGUAUAAUCACAAUUAUACCUUAGAGGCUACGUCAAAUAAGUUUUUUUAAGAAAAGUAAAAUAGUAAUUAUACUAUUCCGUCCACAGUACAUAUAGAGUACGUCUGCAUAAUGAUUUUCUUCAUCUCUUUCAGUUUUUUUUUUAAUUUAUUCUAACACAGUAAGAUUCCUUGAGAUAUGAAAAAAAAAUAGCAAACUUAUUUCGUAGGUUGUAUAUUUUGACAUGAAAUGCAGUGCAGACUAGACAAUAGAUGCACAUUCAAAGGUCAUUUUCUGUCGCGGCCCAUCCAUUUUAACCUGUUAGACAGCCUCCCCCAGCCUACGCAAGUCUCUACAAAAUAGAAAUGUUCAUUGAAAUAGCAAGUAAAAUCUUUAAUUAUUUUAACACUAAGAUACUCCACCACAAUGCAACAUCUCAGAACCUUUCUAUAUUCAUCCCAGAAAGGGAAUCCUUGGCAUCUAUCUUAUCUUCUUAUCGCAGGCGACGAGGCUCAUUAUUAAGAUUAUUUUCUAGCAUCUGCUUCUACUGUCUACUUGAAUUAUGCCCUUCAGUGGUUGUUUUUCUUCUUUGAGGACUGCUAAAUUGCUUGUUUAUAUCAACAGUCAAGAGGAUUGAUUCCCCUUUUAGACUGCAAUUUUCUAUUUUUAACUCAGGCAAGACAGAUUCUUAGAAUGGGUUGAUGAUUAGAUGAUAUGUGACAUUCUUGUAGCCUUUUCGAUCUUUCUGCGCAAUGAUCAUAAGAAUUUUUACACUUCGGAAUCAUUGAAUCAAUAUACUACUUGGAAAAGCAAGUUUUGUUUUUUAUGUAUUCACCUAUCUCCUGGAAAAAAGGAGCUGCCAGAUUUCUUACCCCUUUAAGCUUUGUUUUUUUCCUAACAAAUAGGGAACAUGCACGAUGAAUAAGAAACUGGAGAAAGAACAUGUUGGGAUCAUUCAAACCAUGCUCUUAACCUCUUUAUAGUUUUAUUCAUUGUACUGGUACUGGGUAGUACUGUUUGUCCAAAUCGCAUUUCACAAAUCAGAAGAUUUGGAUUAAGGCAUUUCUAGCCUUCUUUAGUCUUCUUUUCCUUCACAUUUUUUCUUAGAAACGUUAGAAAGUUGCAAAUUGUAGGAGGGAAUGCGAUAGGCUUCGGCAAAUCAGAAUAAAUAAUAAUUCCCCGGCGACAGCCAUUGAUUUUGCAACAGCUACACAUCUUCACAUGGCUUGAACAUGUAGCUCUUAUACGAGCCUAGGCUAUUGCAGUAAUGGAGCGAGAACUUAGUAGUGGCAAAUAAAGCACAAAUACAUAGGUGGAAUCCAAUGCGAAGCAUGCCCGUCUAACAAGAGCACAUUUUAUGGGGUUUUGUGUUUUCACACUAAUUUAGCCACCUGAACAACUGUGUUAAAUCACCAAAUGAAUGGCCUUAAAUUCCCAUCAUAUGAUACAGGUGGAAAUCUCACAAGCUGUCCGACUAGCCGUGCUAAUUUACCUUGGAACCGAGUAUAAAAUCUACCAUUUUUGUUUAAAACAUAGGAGAACAUGAUCUAGUCAUGGAUAAAAUGGAAUAUUCUCAAUGUCAGGAAUUGAAGUUGGCCAUUUUGCUUGGUGGGGUGUGGGCUGCUAGGAAUCUCAUGUGUAAACCAUGAGGAAGGCAUUUUUCCUACUUUCGUUCCCUUUCUUUUCCCUUUUAUUUGCACAAAGGAUACGCUUAUCUUGAGAAACAUUGUACAAUAGAUUUUUAUUCUUUUUUUUUUUUUUUUGUCCUUUCCUUUUGAGGCUAUAAGAACUCCUCUACUCUGGAAAGAGACUCAAAAGGAGCUAAAGCAUGAAGAAACAGAGAGAUCUCUAUUGCAGAAGAGAAAGUAGUGGACAUGAGUCUCAAGGACCUUGCUAAGAAACUAGAGGAAUUUGCAAGGCUAGAGAUUGGGAAAAGUACCAUAGUCCAAGAAAUCUCCUUCUUGCAAUGGUAAUGUCCUAUCCUCCUUAUAUGUGUACAGAGCAUUCAUGCGAAGAUCCUUUAUGUAUGUGUUUUUCGUGUCCGUUCCAUAGGCCACAUAACUCAGAAUGUUUUCUUCUUUGCUAUGUAUUGGAAUGAUCUGUGUAUGACUCAGUUCCAUCGUAGAAACAUUCCCUCUUCUCAACAUGUCUUUUCACUAGUUUCUUGAAUCUACUGGGGGCUAAUGCACAGUUCACUAUGAUGACAAAGUGAAUACAACCCACAAUAUAAAAUAAGGACAACUUUUGUUCUAGUUUAAUCAUCCAUGUCGAAGCCGAACCGCAUAUAACGAGGCACUUGUUGGAAGGACAGCAACGAUUCCCAGAAUUGUUAGGGAUUGAUUACUGUGAAAUAUUUCCUUAGAGACAAGCUCUGUUUUUAUUUCAUAUUUAUAAAGAAGUUUCACAGGGGAACUGCAUUAACAGAACAAAUAUUUGUCUGAAAGAACCAUGACUACUCAAGACAGUUUGAGACACCAAGUGUACGACGACAUAAGGUGGGGCGGGCGGAGGAAUCUCUUCAGCCAAUUUGCUCAUGUUUGGGAUUGAACUUGAGAAAUUUUUUAAGGUGCCCUGUCUUUAAAUCUGUAAAGCUUAAAUCAUUGGCUACUAAAGGGUGUGUAAAUGUUCACAUUUAUGACUUGCAGCGUGAUGGUGACAAAAUAAAUGGGUUGUUUUUGGCUCAGAUUUUCCUGGUGACAGACUAAUCUCUCCAUCAUCUAAUAUUGGAUUGAUUCCUUUUUUUAUAUAUCUUGUUUGAUGUGCAAGUUAGCGAAGUAGGAGCUAUCGGAAAUAUUCCAAUGGAAAGGAGAGGUGGACAGGGGUUGCCAAACUAGAAGGAACCUGACAAGGAGCAUCUGCAGAAGAGCUGUCUAAUGUGCUCCUAUACCUCAUAUAUUGUCUGAUAUCUGUGGCAUUGAUCUUGGUGAUGCUGCCAAAAAAAUUGUCUGAUACUCUAUUUCUCUUUUUCAGUGCUGCAAUGGCAGCUACUGCUGGCUGCCUUGGCAGCCCACUCUCUCCUACAUUUCUCACAUCUUUGGCUCUACAAUCUAUCUCUCAUUUUGCUCUCUAACUUGGUGCCUUUUAUAGGCAACAAUGGCAGCUCCUCAAUCAAUGGCUGCACAUGGUUGAUACAUUUGUCAAUGGUGGGUGCAACUACCAUUGACAAAUGGUAACCCUACUUCUUAGGGUAGGUGCCCAUUUAUUGCCCAUUAAUGGCAAAUCCCAACAAUCCCCUUUGACAUUUAUAUGGGCAAUUGUCCUCUUGUUUUUGGCUAUACAUUUGUCCAUUUAUAUCUAGCCAUCACAUUGGCUCUGGCGUUAUGAACUGGGCUCAUUUCGGCCACACACCUUUCUUGAGGUGUCUCCGCUCGUCGUCAUACGACAUUCUGUAAUGGGGCUCCUAUCACGACCCUCACACCUUCCAUUUAAGGUUUCUCCACUCGUCGCCAUGCGACGGUCUGAAUCUGGGACUCAUAUCAUGAUCCUCACACCAUCCAUCCGAGGUGUCUCUGCUCGUCGUCAUGCGGUGGUCUGAAUCUGGGACUCAUAUCAUGGUCCUCACAUAUUUUUUCUGAGGUGUCUUCGCCUGUUGAUUAGUACUUAAAAGUGCAUUAUUUAUCAAGAUUUUAUAUCAUCAUUUUGCACUUAAAGUAUCAAUAACUCCUUAACUAAAGCAUGUUUUAUAAUAACAAGUCUAAUACUAUAAAAUGCCUUAAUAUGAUAAAUGUUAUCUUAAAUGCAGGCCUAUCACAUAAAUCAAAGGAUUGAUUGAUGAGUUCAAGUAUGGAAAUUGAAAGGACAAAGAGAGGGCCAAACUUAGAAAAGAGAUGUUGGUGCAGUCCAAACUGGAACACUAUUCGGUAAUUGGGUCAUAUCUCGAGUUCUAGAUGUCCAAAUGAUCUCAAAUGUUUACAGAUUUGGUAAGACAUAGGCCUACAACUUUCAUUUUCAUCAAGAUCUAAGAAGGCCUUUUGCAAGUCCAAAUUAUAGCAACAACGGAGAAGUCUGAAUCUGUCUGCACCCAAAUAUUGUUUAGUGUUUGGCCCAUAUCUGGAGUUCUAGAAGUCCAAAUGACCUCCUUUUUUUUCCUGGAAAGCUGAGUAAUUUCCUACAACUUUAUGUUUCAAGUGGACCCAGUUCUGAUGCUAGCAUUUUCGUUUUAUUCAGACAAGAAGAUAAGGAUUUUCACAAGUCAAAAGUUGGCCACCCACUCAACAAUUAGUCAUCAAAUCAAUAAUUCUGAAUUUUGGCCUAUAAAAGGAGGCAUUUGCCAUGUAUUUAGGGCUUGGUUGUUCAGAUCAAGUUCAUGCUCUUUAUUUCUCUCUUUAUUUUUUUUUGUAAUUUUAAGUUUUGCUUUCAUUAAUAUCUUGUUUAUGCUUUUCAUUUCCUUUCCUUUACUUAGUUAACUUGUUUUCUUUAUGUUCUUGUUUUGUUUAUUUAUGUUUCUCUUCUUCAUUAUGUUUAGCUAAGUUUAUUAUGUCAAGGUGAAAAGGUUACACUAAUGGUGUAAGAAUAAGUAUGGUGUAAACUCAACAUGGACCUUAAUGUUUAAUAUUAACAUGUCUUAUCUUUUUAUCUUACUAAUUCUUAAUACCUUGCUUGUUAAAUGGUUAAUCUAGAUUUGUGUUGUAUAACACUUGGUACACAAAUGCUUGGCACUCUCAUAGCCCAACCGUAUGGUAUUACCUACACCUGCUAUGAAAGGAACUUGAUUUGUUGUUAACAUCAUGAAUUCCUGACAAUAUUUAAAAGUUUGGUGUUAUGUAAAUAAGAUAAUUAAUAUGAUCAUGUUAAUAAUUUAUAAUGAGCUAUUAAUGACAAAUCAUCCGAUUGGAACCUCCUUCGUGUGUGGUUUCCAAAUUGAGUAAUAAGAGUUUAUACUAUACUUGUUUGAAAUACCAUUGGUGGAUCCUCUAACCUUGACAUUUGUUUUUAUCAUUGUUUAAUCCUUACAUUAAUCUUCCAUCUCAAAGUUCUCAUUAAUUUUCUUCUUCUUUUUAUUUAUAUUAUUAUUAUUACUAUACUACUAUAUACUUACUUAUUAUUAUUAUUAUUAUUAUUAUUUUAUCAUAAAUCAGUAUAUAGGCUGGAAACCUGUAACCCGAUCUUUUAGAUCAUUCUCAGGUAUAACAACGCCACGUACUGAGUAUUAUUAUUAUUAAUAUUAUUAUUACUGUUACUGUUAUUGUUAUUAUUGUUGUUGUUAUUGUUCUUGUUGUUGUAUUGUUAUUUAUAAUUUAUACAAUUAACCUCUCUGUGGUUUGACCCCGGUCUUGCCGGGUUAUUUAUUAAUUUGACACCUUGGAGAAGACAUCAAUCUUUUCAUCGUGUCACCUGUCAUCAUGAGAUGGUCUGAAUCUGGGCUCACAUUAUGGCCCUCACACCAUCUGUCUGAGGUGUCUCCAUCUGUCAUCAUGAGACGGUCUGAACAUGAACCAUAUCAUGGUCCUCACACCUUUUGUCUGAGGUAUCUCCGCCUGUCGUCAUGAGACGGCCAUCCUCCUUCAUCAGGGAUGUCUCGAGUGGCUCCAAGAUUCUCUACCAUGUGGACUUGGGAGAGAUCACUACCACUGAUCACAUAGAAAGAGAAGUUGUGGUGCACUCUUCGCAAUUUCCCAUCUCAUUUUUUAUGUUUUGAGCUUCUAUGCUUUUCUGCUUGAUAGCUCCACCCACACCAACUCUCUUUGGUGUCUUCGCCUUUAAUCGACGGUCGCACCCCCUUAAUUAGGUGCUUCUACAACAACUCAUCUUUCCAUCCUUGCAUGAUUGGAUAUGUCCUCGCUUGUUGCCUUUAUCAAGAGCAUAAGAGACUUCCUGUUGUACAACUUUUCACACAAUCUUUGCUCUGAGCUUCAUCUGAGAACUCUUCUUCUCCUUGCACCUGUUGUCUCAUUACAAUACCUCGUUGGAUCCUACGGGUACUCCUGCACAAUUCUGUGUGCCUUCGUGCAAUUUCUGUUCUCGAGAAUUCUCCAUUUCCUUGCUUAUUUUGACAGCAGCUCCUGUCACAACACCUAUCCAAGUCAAAAUAGGGUGCCAAUCUUCAUUCCUUGCUGUAUUUCUCUUCCAUUAUCAGGGUUCAUCAUUUCCCCUCGAGAAAUUACAGUCACUGAAUCUAACUUCUUUGGAGAAAUCACCACUCCAUCAGAUCCUUGAUCAUACGGAACCCAACUGUUCCCCAUGGGUCCCACUGCGUGACAUGUCUCUGACCUGGCAUGCUGAUGUCAUCCUGGCCUGCUGUGUGCAUGAUGACCUCAUGUUGACGUCAUCCUUAUCCGUGCCAGCCACGUGGGUUGGGUCGUCUGGUAUUUGGGUCGGGUCAGCCCAUCCGGGCGAAGAAGACGCGUGUGACUCGUCUGUGCGCGUGGCCAGCUACCCGCCAGCGCGUGACGACAUGUGUGGCCAUGUCCGACGUCCAAUUUCAACGCGGUUUUCAACAGUGGCUUCGUUCGUCCUCCUCUACACGGUGAUAUGGUCAAAACAAUUUGACAACUUUUAUUUUUUAGCAAAAAUCAAACACCACUUUAAACCAUAUGCUUUAAUACCAAUUGUUGAGAAUCCGACCGGUAAUGUCCUGAUAAUUGCUCAUAGGAGGGUAAGCACACAACAUAAUAUUUAACGUGGUUCGGCAAACCGCCUACAUCCACGGGAGAAGCCAUUUGAUUAUAUAGGGAGAAAACAAGAUUUACAACAAUAGAGGAGGAGGAAUCAUCCCCUCUUUAGCAACUCUCAACCUCACUCUAUUUCUCUCUUUUCAGUGCUACAAUAGCAGCUACUGCUGGCUGCCUUGGCACCCACUAUCUCCUACAUUUCUCACAUCUUUGGCUCUACAAUCUAUCUCUAUUUUGCUCUCUAACUUGGUGCCUUUUAUAGGCAACAAUGGCAGCUCCUCAAUCAAUGGCUGCACAUGGGUUGAUACAUUUGUCAAUGGUGGGUGCAACUACCAUUGACAAAUGGUAACCCUACUUCUUAGGGUAGGUGCCCAUUUAUUGCCCAUUAAUGGCAAAUCCCAACACCGUAUCCUAUAUAUAUAAAAGAGAAUGAAUCAUAAAUAAUAUAAUAAAUGACCACUCUCUUCACCCGACUUUCCAAGAACUGGUCUAGCCUUGACUGCCAGCGUUAACUUUUUGUUAUAAUUAUUUUUUAAAAUAUUUUUAUUAAAAAUAUAUAUUUUUUUUAUUUUUUAAAAAAUUAUUUUUAACAUCAACACAUUAAAAUAAUUUUAAAAUACUAAAAAAUAUUAAUUUAAAACAAAAAAAAUAAUUUUUAUUCAUCUGAUGGUAAGGUACACUGGUCUUAACUUUCCAAUUUUGAUAACGUUGCAAAUUAGUUCAAACUUGCCAAGGCCAGUUGUCAAAGGAUCCUACAUAAACUGUCACUAGCAAAAUGAAAAUCUCAGGGUCAUAACAGUUGCUAUCCUGAACAAUCUUCUUUUCUAUUCAUCUGCUUUUCCAGAAUCUUUACUGGAAAAGAAAGACGCACCAGAAGCACAAAUACACCCCCAAUUCAUGUAUGAUAGCACUAAAAACUCCAUCGCAUUCAAUGCCAUGAUGAAGAAACUCAAUUAAGGUUCCAACGGGAGCCGGGCUUUCUAGCAUGCAUAUAUAAUGUUUUUCUUCUUCGAUGGGAACAUUCCUCCGACACUUUUCUCCAGGUUGAAAUAAGCAUUCGACCGAGUUUGCUUCGAUGGGAGGAACACAGUUUCUUAUUUAUUUAAUCUUUGAUAAUUACGGAACUGCUAAAUCUAACGCGAAAAUAAAGCUUCUAGGAAUUAGUAAAGCAAGGUGCAAAUUAUCAGUGCACUUGGUUGUGGCGUCGUCUCUCAUAUUUAACAACACAUUGUUGAAAGUAGGAAGUGGACGUUUUUUUCCCCUGAAGGGUAGUAGCAGCAUAAGCGAAUUCUAUAUAUGAGAACACACAAAUUUUCACUCCAUAAAAAGUAACUAGUGCGCAGGAUUAAAAAAGGAACAUAAGAAGAUUGACCUCGAAAUCUUAAAUAUAUGGAAAAUCUUCUUAAACUUCUCAAUCUGUGAGUCCAUAGAAAACCAACUGAAAAAACAUCCCAAAACAACUUGCUUCGUGUUGAUAACAAAAUUGGACGUCCUUGUACAGAUUACUCUUAAGCAGCACUUUCUUUCUUCAACUUCGCAAGUUCUUGCCUGAUCAAUCCACCCCUCUACAAUUGCGUGUAAACAAGAUGUAUAUUAGAUUGAGAAUGAAAGUAUCAAAAUUACAAAAUCAUGAAAAAUAAAGAUGGAAUCCUAGAAAGCCAUAAAUAAAUAUCAAACAGUAGAAAUAGAAGUUCAAAAUCCAAACCUAGUAAAAUAAGUCAGUGGAUUUAAAUUUGGAAGUAAAUCAUAAAAACAUUUCAAGAGCCAAUCUUUUAUAUAGCACUAUAACCAACCUUGAUCUGAGCCAACAUCAACUUGAACCGAUCAAAGUCAUUGAGAGCUGCCCUUCUCUUCUGGACAAUCAGCCUUCUGCCCCAAGAGCUAUUCUCCCACUUGUUCUUAACAUCUAUCAUCGGGAAAUGUAAGAUUAAAAGAAUGGGAGGAGAAGAGAAGAGCUGUAGACGGGAAGACUAAAGAGAUACAGAAAAAUGUAUUUUCCUUAAUGAUGUUUACUGUUACAUGAUGGUCUUAUAUAAUACCAUCUUAAAUUCAAAAUAAUCCUAUAAUCAAGGAUACAAUUAAUGAUAAGAUAUACACAUAUUUUCUAAUAUUGUUGUAGAUGUGAUCACGUUAUCUUCAGAUUCAAAUAUCUCUUGUGCAGGUAUGAUCAGGUAUGGUCAGGUAUGAUUAGGGAUAACAAUCCCUGAUCAUGAUCUUUCCAGUAUCCAGACUUCCUGAUACUUAUCGUACUCCCUGAUCAUGUUUAUCUUCAAUAUCAAUAUUAUCUUUAUUGUAGAUAUGCUUGGAGAUCACGAUUAUCUUCAGUAGUAGUAAUCUCUCUUGUUCAGGUAUGGUCAGGUCAGGUCAGGUAUGAUCAGGUCAGGUCAGGUCAGGGAUAUCAAUCCCUGAUCAUGUUUAUCUUCAGUAUCAGUAUUAUCUUCAGGAGAUUGGAUAAUAUCGUUAAACCCCCGCAAUCUUGACGGGAGGUCACAAACGUGAAGAUUGGAGCACAAAAAUUAAACCGUGCAGUAGAGAGUGGUUUUGUCAGGAGAUCGGCUAGCUGGUCACGAGUAGAUAAAAACCUGACUAUCAAUUUCUAUUGAGAAACUAGAUCUCUAACGAAGUGAAAGUCAAUUUCAAUGUGCUUUGUUCGGGCAUGGAACACUGGAUUUGAGGAUAGAUACAUGGCACCUAUAUUGUCACCAGAGAGUGGGACUUUUGGAGAGUGGCAGACCAAGUUCGGCAGCUAAAUAUUGUAACCAUUGGAGUUCGAUUGCUGUGUCCGCGAGAGCCUUGUAUUCAGCCUCAGUACUGCUACGAGCGACUGUAGCUUGAUGUUUGCUUCGCCAGGAAAUUAAAGUGGAGCCAUAAAUAAAUAUAAACAGUAGAAAUAGAAGUUCAAAAUCCAAACCUAGUAAAAUAAGUCAGUGGAUUUAAAUUUGGAAGUAAAUCAUAAAAACAUUUCAAGAGCCAAUCUUUUAUAUAGCACUUAAAAUCCUUGAUCUUAGCCAACAUCAACUUGAACCGAUCAAAGUCAUUGAGAGCUGCCCUUCUCUUCUAGACAAUCAGCCUUCUGCCCCAAGAGCUAUUCUCCCACUUGUUCUUAACAUCUAUCAUCGGGAAAUGUAAGAUUAAAAGAAUGGGAGGAGAAGAGAAGAGCUGUAGACGGGAAGACUAAAGAGAUACAGAAAAAUGUAUUUUCCUUAAUGAUGUUUACUGUUACAUGAUGGUCUUAUAUAAUACCAUCUUAAAUUCAAAAUAAUCCUAUAAUCAAGGAUACAAUUAAUGAUAAGAUAUACACAUAUUUUCUAAUAUUGUUGUAGAUGUUGAUCACGUUAUCUUCAGAUUCAAUAUCUCUUGUGCAGGUAUGAUCAGGUAUGAUCAGGUAUGAUUAGGGAUAACAAUCCCUGAUCAUGAUCUUUUCCAGUAUCCAGACUUCCUGAUACUUAUCGUACUCCCUGAUCAUGUUUAUCUUCAAUAUCAAUAUUAUCUUUAUUGUAGAUAUGCUUGGAGAUCCGAUUAUCUUCAGUAGUAGUAAUCUCUCUUGUUCAGGUAUGGUCAGGUCAGAUCAGGUCAGGUAUGAUCAGCGUCAGGUCAGGUCAGGGAUAUCAAUCCCUGAUCAUGUUUAUUCAGUAUCAGUAUUAUUUCAGGAGAUUGGAUAAUAUCGUUAAACACGCCCCCGCAAUCUUGACGGGAGGUCACAAACGUGAAGAUUGGAGCACAAAAAUUAAACCGUGCAAUAGAGAGUGGUUUUGUCAGGAGAUCGGCUAGCUGGUCACGAGUAGAUAAAAACCUGACUAUCAAUUUCUGUUGAGAAACUAGAUCUCUAACGAAGUGAAAGUCAAUUUCAAUGUGCUUUGUUCGGGCAUGGAACACUGGAUUUGAGGAUAGAUACAUGGCACCUAUAUUGUCACACCAGAGAGUGGGACUUUUGGAGAGUGGCAGACCAAGUUCGGCAGCUAAAUAUUGUAACCAUUGGAGUUCGAUUGCUGUGUCCGCGAGAGCCUUGUAUUCAGCCUCAGUACUGCUACGAGCGACUGUAGCUUGAUGUUUGCUUCGCCAGGAAAUUAAAGUGGAGCCAUAAAUAAAUAUCAAACAGUAGAAAUAGAAGUUCAAAAUCCAAACCUAGUAAAAUAAGUCAGUGGAUUUAAAUUUGGAAGUAAAUCAUAAAAACAUUUCAAGAGCCAAUCUUUUAUAUAGCACUAUAACCAUCCUUGAUCUUAGCCAACAUCAACUUGAACCGAUCAAAGUCAUUGAGAGCUGCCCUUCUCUUCUGGACAAUCAGCCUUCUGCCCCAAGAGCUAUUCUCCCACUUGUUCUUAACAUCUAUCAUCGGGAAACAAUACAUCUCAAUAAAGGGAGGAGGUAUUUAGAGCACAAAUGACACAACUUUCAGUUAGAACUACCCCCUUACCAGCCUUCUCCAUGGCUUCAAUCAAUGCCUUCUUCUUCGGAACCCGGUUGAUAUCAAUCUUGAUAUCGGUGAGUGAGAUUCUCUUGAAGUUCAUUUGGCUCCUCACCAUAUCUGGGGCAUCAACC
rnacentral:lncRNA from 1 species